UCAUAUUUAAGUUAUUUAACUUAACUACCCCCUACCCGCUACAAGUUCCCGUCCCGAAUUUGAAAUAAAAAAAUAUGGUCGCCUUGCAAGUAGGGAAAUUAGAGAAUUGGAACCGCUAUAUCAUCUACAAAUCUUGUAUAUCUGACCCUAAUGUUGUUCUGUUUUUAUGUUUAUCGCAUCUUGGAUAUGUAGAUUAAAAAGUAGCGGUGACAAUCCCGUAGGAAAAAUUUCAAUUGAACUUCAAUGAGAAGCAAUGGAAAAUUUGUAAAUUCCAUUCAAAACCAUUUGCCAUAAAUGGAAAAAUAAUUGUUUCCACUUACAAUAAUUCGAUGUGCAUUCUUGUCUGACUUCCUUUCUUGUAUUCACUUUUCUAUGCUGGUCAUUAGGAUUAUACAUUCUAAGUUUAGAUCACGUGAUUUUGUCUUUUAGUAAAGUUUAACUUUGGUCACAAGGGUUGUUUCCUGGUUACCUUACGCUAUGUUCGGAUGCUUUGAAAAGUUUUUUAAGGUUUAAUAAAUAAUUUAUUAGAAACAAUUUUGCAGAAAAAAGUCCCUUGUGGUUGAUUAAUUAUUUCAACGUUUAAUUAGUAAUUAGCUAGGUAAGAUAAAUAAAAAAGAAGAAUUGUGUGUAUAUUUCGUAAAUAGUAAAUUUUUACAACUUCUUCUGAACACACUGUAUAACUUUUGUGCAUAUUAAUGACAGGCUUGUUAAGUAUGAUUUUUUAAAAAGUUGCAUUCACUUUUACUGUAAAGCAAAGGCUUUUAUUUUAUAGAAUUAAAAGAUCUGAUGAUUUGAAAGAAUCCAGCGUCAUAAAUAAUGUCAUUUUUUUAGUUUAUUUCCGUUAACCUAAUAUGUAUUCAAAUUCUAAUCACUUAUGGAGCUCUCUAAAUGAACGUGGAAGCAAGUUUUCAGUUUUAAUAUGGAAAAAUUUCACAUUACAAAGACGAAAUCUUCUUCAAACCAUUUUUCAAAUUAUAAUUCCAGUUUUAUUUUGUUUGGUACUUAUUGUACUGAGAGGGAUAAUUAAAAUGAAUUAUAAUCCUGAAGGAAGAAACUACACUUCAUUUCCGAUUGAAAUAAAUGGCAAUUAUUCAGUAUUGGUUCAUUCCCCGAUAAAUCCUGAGAUUGAUAAAAUAAUGAAUGAGGUUGCAAACAGAUUGGGACUGUCAAGUAUUCCUUUUAAAACGGCAACAGAAAUGCAGAGAUUUUUACAAAGUUGGGAAAGUCCCGAACUUGUUUUUGCAGCAGUUGAAUUUGAUGAUAGUUUAUCUGGUACCGACAGUAUUCCUGAACAAGUUACCAUAACUUUAAGAUUUCCAUCAUCUCUUCGAAAAUCUGGUGGGAUUGGCGAGGAACUUAUAUGGCAUACUUGGCAAACAACAAGACUGUUUCCCUUAGAAAUAUAUCCUGGUCCACGAAAUAGUGACUAUGGAUUUGGAGGUCCACCAGGUAGUAAAAUCAUCGUUUGUUAUUUAAAUAAAAUAUUCGAUUUAAAACCUUGUACGGUGUACCACGCACAAUAUUCAUUGGUAUAAUUAGUAUACAGAAGUAAAGAUAUGUUGCUUCCAAAAAUUGAUGCAAUUCCUUCAAGGUAUAUGCAUAAGAAAAGCGAAGGAAAAGGUUUUGAUUCGAAGGUUUGCUUUAAGGUAAAAGGUUUUACAUAAUUUGUAUUUAUAAGAAGAACCAUCUGCUCAAAAACUAAAGGAUUUGCUUCUAAAAAGAGGAAUCUAGGUUCACAACAACUUUUCUCGCUCUUUUCAACUUUUCAGUAGCUGCUCAGGCAUCACACAGCUUGAAACGUAAACAUUUAUGUAUUUGUAGGACUGUUUUGUGUUAAAAUCUAUCUAGAAGGACUUUAAUCCGAAGCAUUUCUUUGCAAGGAAAACGUAUAGAUUAUGGAUACGAAUUGUAGCAAAAGCUUUUACUUUUACCUUUUGCUUCUACCUUUUACUUGAAAGUAAAUUAUUAUUCUUAACUAAUAAUAAUGGGUGGAUUUUUAAAGCAAAGUAAAAAUAAUCAUGCCGUAACUUGAAAACAAAAAUUAAUAAAUUAGUAUUCUUUAUUUAAAUGGUUCUAAAGUCCCUCCAAUAAAAGUAUAUUUAAAUAAAUUGAUUUUAUAAACUCCCCCCCCCCUUGUUCU